AUUGAACGCUGGCGGCAGGCCUAACACAUGCAAGUCGAGCGGAUGAAGGGAGCUUGCUCCUGGAUUCAGCGGCGGACGGGUGAGUAAUGCCUAGGAAUCUGCCUGGUAGUGGGGGAUAACGUCCGGAAACGGGCGCUAAUACCGCAUACGUCCUGAGGGAGAAAGUGGGGGAUCUUCGGACCUCACGCUAUCAGAUGAGCCUAGGUCGGAUUAGCUAGUUGGUGGGGUAAAGGCCUACCAAGGCGACGAUCCGUAACUGGUCUGAGAGGAUGAUCAGUCACACUGGAACUGAGACACGGUCCAGACUCCUACGGGAGGCAGCAGUGGGGAAUAUUGGACGAUGGGCGAAAGCCUGAUCCAGCCAUGCCGCGUGUGUGAAGAAGGGCUUCGGAUUGUAAAGCACUUUAAGUUGGGAGGAAGGGCAGUAAGUUAAUACCUUGCUGUUUUGACGUUACCAACAGAAUAAGCACCGGCUAACUUCGUG
rnacentral:rRNA from 1 species